UAUUGAUUUGGCAGAUUAGUGCAUUAAAUUUAGAAUUUAAUAAAGUAGAAUUUUACAUUCAAUAA
rnacentral:tRNA from 1 species